UACAGAGGUCCCAAGCGUUGUUCGGAUUCAUUGGGCGUAAAGGGUGCGUAGGUGGCGCUGUAAGUCGGGUGUGAAAUUUCGGAGCUUAACUCCGAAACUGCAUUCGAUACUGCGGUGCUCGAGGACUGGAGAGGAGACUGGAAUUCAUGGUGUAGCAGUGAAAUGCGUAGAGAUCAUGAGGAAGACCAGUGGCGAAGGCGGGUCUCUGGACAGUUCCUGGCACUGAGGCACGAAGGCCAGGGGAGCAAACGGG
rnacentral:rRNA from 1 species